AUUGAACGCUGGCGGAAUGCUUUACACAUGCAAGUCGAACGGUAGAGGGGGCAACCCCUCGAGAGUGGCGAACGGGUGAGUAAUAUAUCGGAACGCGCCCAGUCGUGGGGGAUAACGUAGCGAAAGUUACGCUAAUACCGCAUACGAUCUAAGGAUGAAAGCGGGGGAUCGCAAGACCUCGCGCGAUUGGAGCGGCCGAUAUCAGAUUAGGUAGGUGGUGGGGUAAAGGCUCACCAAGCCAACGAUCUGUAGCUGGUCUGAGAGGACGACCAGCCACACUGGAACUGAGACACGGUCCAGACUCCUACGGGAGGCAGCAGUGGGGAAUUUUGGACAAUGGACGCAAGUCUGAUCCAGCCAUUCCGCGUGCAGGAUGAAGGCCCUCGGGUUGUAAACUGCUUUUGUACGGAACGAAAAGGUCUCUCUUAAUACGGGGGACUCAUGACGGUACCGUAAGAAUAAGCACCGGCUAACUACGUGCCAGCCGCCGCGGUAACAC
rnacentral:rRNA from 1 species